rnacentral:rRNA from 1 species
UGGGGAAUAUUGGACAAUGGGCGAAAGCCUGAUCCAGCCAUGCCGCGUGUGUGAAGAAGGCCUUUUGGUUGUAAAGCACUUUAAGUGGGGAGGAAAAGCUUGUGGUUAAUACCCAUAAGCCCUGACGUUACCCACAGAAUAAGCACCGGCUAACUCUGUGCCAGCAGCCGCGGUAAUACAGAGGGUGCAAGCGUUAAUCGGAAUUACUGGGCGUAAAGCGCGCGUAGGUGGUUAUUUAAGUCAGAUGUGAAAGCCCCGGGCUUAACCUGGGAACUGCAUCUGAUACUGGAUAACUAGAGUAGGUGAGAGGGGAGUAGAAUUCCAGGUGUAGCGGUGAAAUGCGUAGAGAUCUGGAGGAAUACCGAUGGCGAAGGCAGCUCCCUGGCACCAUACUGACACUGAGGUGCGAAAGCGUGGGUAGCAAACAGGAUUAGAUACCCUGGUAGUCCACGCCGUAAACGAUGUCUACCAGUCGUUGGGUCUUUUAAAGACUUAGUGACGCAGUUAACGCAAUAAGUAGACCGCCUGGGGAGUACGGCCGCAAGGUUA